GAGUCCCAGUUUCACGUGGUGGCCAGCGUGAAGUGUACUCAAAUCCUACCUCGAGAGUUAUCCUACGCGCCUCUCCAAUCGAGGUAAGCUCAAUAAUUGGGAACCAUGCCCCUCUAAUUAGGGUGGCCCACAGAACCCCCGUCACUGCAGUGCCCACUUUAUAAUCCACCAAUCAAUAAAAUCACAAUAGUAUGACAUGGCUCACUUAACACAUUCAAGGCAAAUCAAAGCAGUUCACAUAUUCUUAAAAUCAUAAAAAUAACAAGUCAUACCCACAUUUAUCAUAAGCCAUUUAAUGUAAAAUCAUGGAUAAACAACACAAUCAUAGUAUAGGUCUCCAAUUACUCUAUUUUUGAAAUCAUUAUUAAAUUUUCAAAAAUUUUAUAAAAUUAUUUUAUAAAAUCUCAUUUUCCCAUAAAAUACAAUAAUUUUCCAACUAAACUAUUUUUCCAUAAAAUCACAUAAUUAAAUAAAUCUACUCUAGAUAAUUAAGACGAUAGUAAGUUUACUCACUGUACUAGGAGUAAAUAUACUCUUAUUCUCGAUCCUUGGGUGUAGUCUUUUACCCGUAUCAGAUAGCUCACCACCUAUCCACAAUACAUGACACAAAAAAUUCAAGAAUUUGUGUCAAAUCAAUAUAUUAUUUCAGGUUUUUAUCCAUGCGUAUGCACUAGAUAGGGUGUGAAAUGUUUGGACAAUCGCUUAAUCACAGUAUCCGACCUAACUCGCCUAUACACGGUGUAAAUUUCUAAAAUCUCCAAUUCAACUCCAAUUCCAUCUAUUUUAAUUUCAAUUAUCCAAUUAUAUUCACAAUACCUCAAUGACUGUGAAUGUGGUCCAAUUUAUCAGUUCGGAUCACAAAUUACGUUUUUACCCCUAGUGGGUAAAAAUUUUAAUUUUUUUGCACCAAAAAUUUCCAUUUAAUUUUCAACCUCAAAAUUCAUCAUUUUUCCAUCUAAUUCUUUUAAAAUAAAGUCAAUCUCAUCCUCACACACCAUUGGCUAGAUUCAGCCUAGAGAAAUUCAUGGAGAAAAUGAAUAUUUUUCUUGUUGUUUUACUCAUAAACAUGCUAAACUAACACUAAACACUAACAAAGUUCAAAAUUAAAUUAAUCUAACAACUUUCUCUCUCUAAACCCAUAUGAUCAGAUUUGAAUCCAUCAUCAAAACACAUAAUUUAACUAUGAAAAAUAAGGAAAAAUGCAUGGAAAUGAUAAAUCUUAAGCUAAGCUUGAAAAAUCAUACCUUUAAACACUUGAUUUCUUCAAAAAUCACACUUGUUCUUUGAAUUUUCUCACUCUAGGG
rnacentral:lncRNA from 1 species